rnacentral:rRNA from 1 species
UUACGCUAUCCUCUAUGAAACUUAGAGGACAAAGGAGGAUUUAGUAGUAAAUUAAGAAUAGAGAGCUUAAUUGAAUAGAGCAAUGAAGUACGUACACACCGCCCGUCACCCUCCUCAAAUUAAGCUAACUGUUAACUAUACCUAAUAUUGACUCAUAAACUUAUGAGAGGAGAUAAGUCGUAACAAGGUAAGCAUACUGGAAAGUGUGCUUGGACUAACA